GUGAGCUAUAACUAUUAAGUUUUUCAACGGCCGCGGUAUCCCUGACCGUGCUAAGGUAGCGCAAUCAUGUGCCUCCUAAUUAGAGGAUAGAAUGAAAGAAUCGACAAGAAAAAAGCUGUCUCUUAAAAAUGACAUUGAAAUUUAAGAUUAGGUGAAAAUGCCUAAAUUAAUAAUAAAGACAGAAAGACCCUACAAACUUCAACGAUAAUAUUAAUUUAAUAAAAACGUGUUUAGCUGGGGCGGUUUUAAGUAAUAUACACUUUUUAAUCAAAAGAGAAAUAACUCCAUAAAUUUAUCUACCUAACAAAUAAGAAAGCUACUAUAGGGAUAACAGGCUAAUACUUUUUAAGAGCACGCAUCAACAAAAGUGUUUAGCACCUCGAUGUUGGCUUAGGUGACCCAUUUUAUGCAGCAGUAAAAAAGGGGGGUUUGUUCAACCUUUAAUUACCUACAUGAUCUGA
rnacentral:rRNA from 1 species